rnacentral:rRNA from 1 species
CUCCAGUUGCCAUCAUUUAGUUGGGGACUCUGGAGAGACCGCUGCAGUAACAAUGCAGAGGAAGUGGGGACGACGUCAAGUCAUCAUGGUCCUUAUGUCCAGGGCUACACACGUGCUACAAUGGUAGUUACAGAGGGCAGCGAGGCCGCAAGGCGGAGCUAAUCUCAGAAAAGCUGCCACAGUUCGGAUUGAGGUCUGCAACUCGGCCUCAUGAAGCUGGAAUCGCUAGUAAUCGCGUAACAGCAUGACCGCGGUCGAAUACGUUCCCGGGCCUU